AUUCUCCUGCUUCAGCCUGCCAAGUAGCUGAGACUACAGGUGUGCACUGCCACACCCGGCUAAUUUUUGUAUUUUUAGUAGAGACGGGUGUUCACCAUGUUGGCCAGGCUGGUCUCAAAAUACUGACCUCAGGUGAUCCACCCACCUUGGCCUCCCAAAUUGCUGGGAUUACAGGCAUGAGCCACCACGCCUGGCCAAGACCAGUAUCUGUUUUAUGUGUGUCUUUGAUAUGUGUGGAAAUGAGGAAAUUCAAGAAGUAAAUGGCAGGACCAUGAAAAUUCUUCCUUAGUUUCUACUUAAACAAAUUUAGAUUCAGCACAGUAUUUAGUAAACGGUGCAUGAUGGCAGGAGUCUAAAAGCUAACCUACAUUAGCUCAGAAGGUGUGGUCCACAGAAUGGACCUGGAAUGCCUUGGGCUACUGCCCUCAGUUGCAUUCUGUCCUACGAAAGAGCUCAUGGCUCAAGCUUUCCAAAUUAAUAAAUACAGAGUUUCUAAAAAUAUAAAAUAAAUAAGAGCAAAUUGCAACAGUAAAACCUUAAUAUCAACAAUCUGCUGUGGAGACUGAAGAAAUAUAUUCUCCAUCACUGACAUAUACCUCAUUUCUAUUAGCAGACAGUGAGUGAACGCUCAUUGUGAUUGUCAUUACAUUGCAGACUUUUACUACCCACUGUGGAUACUUUUGAAAAAUAUAUCUUGAUUGACUGAUAUUUCUUUCUCUCAUUUACCUCCUCUCCAUACCUAAAGAAGCUAUCCAGGGAAGAAAGAAAACUGGAUGUGUAAUUCUAUUUAAUUUGUUUUAUAUUUAUUCCUCAAAUCACUCGUUUCUUUGAAAUAAAACACAUUUUU
rnacentral:lncRNA from 1 species